rnacentral:misc_RNA from 1 species
AAACUUCGAAUUCGUUUUUCUCUCUGUGUCACUACAGCUUUGUGUAUAAAGCAACACAACAGGUUCUCGCUUGUACAAUGUAUUUGCUUUAAGUGAUAUAUAGAACAACAUUUACGUUAUCUGGAAAUUUAAAAAAGUAAAUUUAUUACAAUGCCAAGUUGGAGCUCUUAUUCUAUGAGAGAAGCAUGAACACGGCCCUGGUCGGACCGGAAGUAUCAGAGAUGAAUCUACAACAAUUACCGGUACCUUUAUUUGGUCGCGGAAACGUGUCCCACACAGAAUCCAAUGUCUCUGUAAAUUCAUCUGCAGGACUGCAAGAAUCCUAUAGUCUGAGACUGACUUAUGACAUCACAAUCACGUGUACACUGGUCGUCAUUAUUCUCGGCAUGGGCUGUGGAGUCACCCCGGAUCUCAUCAAAAUCCACUUUAAGCGACCUACGGGGAUCGCCAUUGGUCUGCUAUCCCAGAUUAUCAUACUCCCCUUUCUAUCUUUCGCUCUGGCCCAUUCUUUGGGUUUUGAGACGAUCCCUGCCGUGGGGAUGCUGGUAAUGGCGGUGUCCCCGUGUGGGAUGAUGUCGAGUGUUUUCUCCUAUUGGGUGGACGGCGAUGUGCCGCUCAGGUGAGCUAAAUAGAACCUGAUGGUGUAUCAUUAUAUUUACAUCAACCAAGUUUGAUUCCCUCUACUUCUUACGGAAAUUGAUUGCAAUUCGUAGCUCUGUUGUACAAAGAAAGCAUUUUAUUGUUUAAAUAAGCAUUUUUGCCUUAGGUUUGCUUCUAACAUCGCUGCAAACGUUUUGCAAAGAAAAUUAUGCCAGUCCCAAAAAAUUUUGCCACAUUUUGGACACGAUUUGACUUAAAAUUUUCAAAUUUUAUUUUUCCAUUUUCAAUGUUUAAUCUGAUAAAUAUAGAAGUUUAUAAUGCAAUGUCAAAAUUUGAAAGUCAAAUAUCAAGUUAUAAGCAAGAUACAGAGUUCAUAAUUCUUUGUUUUGUAAACAAAACUAAAAUAUUAUCAUGUUUUACAUAUGUGUUGUAUUGGUGUAAGUUUCAAUCAAAUAUAAUUUUCUUUUGUCGAUAAUAGUAUUUAUGAGGAUAUUGAAUUAGUUUAAAUUGUUUUUUACAUGUCAUUCUGUCUAAGAAUUGGUAAUUCUCUACAUUACAUUUUUGUAAACAACUAUAAGACUCAAGCUUUGUUUACAUAACAACCAAUUCUUACCUCUGUAACUAGCUUGUAACUUGACUUUAACAUCAAAUAUUUUGGUCAAUGAUUUAAAAUGCACCAGUUAACCAUUUUAUACAUAAAAAUAAAAAUAAAAUUUUUGAUCUCAAAUCGUGUCCAAGUCCCUUUUAUUUAUUCGAUAUUUAUAAAUACCUCUUGAUUCAGACGAUGUUCAUUCAAUAGUAUGAAAAAGUCGCAAGAUUUCCCUUUUGAAACACGGCCCCUUCUAGUUUGUCAGGUUUCAAUACACGGCUAAAAAUAGAAAGUCUACGGGGAUUUUGCAUUGCAUCAGACAUAAUUAAACCCGGAUGAUAACGUUGAAAAAUUGUGCGAUGUAUUCCGAGUGACUUCCGAAUGGAAAAAAGAUGUCAACAUUCCCCAUUUUGAAUCUCCGUAGGAAAUCUUACGAGGGAAAAAUGAUAAUGUGUGAAUGAAGUUAUCUUGGAAAUUUUCCCUUUCAUCGAUUUCAACUGCACUUCUUUUUUUUAAUCAAAAUUUUUCCAGUUGUGCAGCAUAAAUAUCUUGGGACAGACUUUUUUGUUACAAGAAUACAUAGAAGCUCGCAUAUUCACUUAGUACACAUAAACUGCUUUAAUAGAGGUCUGAAUUUGGCCAUAUUUCUAUGAUAUAUUGAAUAUUUAGUCAACGUCUUACUAUUUCUUAUUUUGAAAUUUCAAUUUACUAUUCAUUGACGAGACAGUGUAAUUGUAGUUAUAUAACGCAUGUAAACCCAUGAAAUACAGAUAUGCGACAUGGACUCAACAUCGUAAUAAACUAUAAAUAAACUUCGGAAUCAGCUACAUAUACUACUUAGUAUUACAAGGGACAAACAGUCAUAUUCAGUAGUUUGCCUUAUGGCUAGCACUUAAUAACUCUGUCCUAUAGCUUUAAAAAGUGAAAAUUUCUGGAAUUUUCCAAAAGCUUUUAAACGUGAAUUUGAUGUGAUGAAUAGUUUUGAUUUUGUUUCCAGUUUCACGAUUUCCACUCUAUCCACUCUCUUGGCUUUUGGCACCAUCCCCCUAAACCUUCUUAUCUACAGUGGUAGUUGGACAGACGAGGAGUUCGUUAUUCCAUACAGGAGUAUCCUGAUAGUGGUCGGAAUAACCAUCACACCUCUAGUUCUGGGGGUCGGGAUCCGAUGGAAGUUCUCCAAAGCUGCGUCAAUUAUUUUAAAGAUUGGUAGCAUUGCUGGAAUCAUCCUUGUUGCACUGUCGUUAAUUUUGCUGAGCUUGCUAUAUCCAUUCAUGUAUUCGGCUUCGUGGAAGAUUUAUGUGGCCGCCGUAUCGUACCCCUACAUCAGUUUCAUGUUUGGGUACGUCGUCUCCACGCUAUUCAGAAUGGACAACUUUCAACGGCGAACCGUCGCCUUAGAGACCGGUAUGCAAAACUAUGCAGUGUGUUUCGCCAUUUUAGAAUCCUCGUUCUCGGCAGAGAAAUUCAGUGUAAUGUCUAUAUUUCCUCUUUUGUAUGGAGUCAAUGUUCUGAUAGCAGGCAUUGUGUUUGUUGGCUUUUACCAAAUAUUGAAGAAAUACGGACCAGAACCGAUAAAAACACAUACUCCAAAUGAAGCGAGAUUGCAAAGGGAAAUAAAAGAUACUCAAAUGACUGAAGCGUUCCUUGAGGUCCGUGUAACAGACAAUGAGGGAAAAGAGGAAUUUUGUAAUACUUGAAGUGUAUUGUGUAAUAAUUGCAAUCUAUGUUCAGUAUAGCCUUGAAAUAUAAUCUGUAUA